GCCUGCGGGAAACCAGGUCAUUGGAGACGCAACUGUGGACAGCAAAGGCAGGCAGUGGUGGGAGGAAAAGAACCAGCAGGGGGUAGUACAACUCAGCCCCGACAGUGGUGAAUCAGACGACUCACAUAGUGUAGCAGAAAAUGUAAAUACAGAAACAGGAUGCGAGCCAAGUGGGCUGUGGUGCAUGGACAGUUGGAUGUGGAGGGGAGUUGGUCCUGCAAAGGAAUUGGUCGAGUGCUGGAAAAAAAAAAAAAAGUUCCACGUGGAGGGAAUUACAGGCGGUUUCCCUCGCAUUGCAAGCAUUUGCGAAGAGUUUAGAGGGUAAAGUAGUGAAGAAAAUAUAAAGACGAUGAGUACUCUUCAACGUUGGCCAUGAUUCUUGACGCAUCAAGAGCCCCCAGCACCACUAAAAAAUACA